rnacentral:rRNA from 1 species
UGCCAGCAGCCGCGGUAAUACGAAGGGAGCAAGCGUUGUUCGGAAUUACUGGGCGUAAAGGGCGUGUAGGCGGAUUGAUUAGUUAGAAGUGAAAGCCCAGGGCUCAACCCUGGAAUUGCUUUUAAUACUGUCAAUCUUGAGUAUCGGAGAGGUGAGUAGAAUUUCCAGUGUAGAGGUGAUAUUCGUAGAUAUUGGAAGGAAUACCAGUGGCGAAGGCGACUCACUGGCCGAUUACUGACGCUGAGGCGCGAAAGCGUGGGGAGCAAACAGGAUUAGAUA